CUACCCCUGCUGUGCGCGUGAUUGGAAGAUGUGCUUUGACCCAACACUUUUGCUUAAGGGGGCCGAGACUGGCUUCGGUGUGCAAGUUCUGCAUGUUCAGAAAAGCCUAAAGAAGUCGCAAGGCGCCCACUUGCCUUUUUGGAUCAAAGGCCGCCCAACACGGCAUCUGGCGGGGGUAUU
rnacentral:other from 1 species